CCUACGGGAGGCAGCAGUGAGGAAUAUUGGUCAAUGGGCGCAAGCCUGAACCAGCCAUGCCGCGUGCAGGAAGACGGUCCUAUGGAUUGUAAACUGCUUUUAUUUGGGAAUAAACCUCCUUACGUGUGGGGAGCUGAAGGUACCAAAUGAAUAAGCACCGGCUAACUCCGUGCCAGCAGCCGCGGUAAUACGGAGGGUGCAAGCGUUAUCCGGAAUCAUUGGGUUUAAAGGGUCCGCAGGCGGACUUAUAAGUCAGUGGUGAAAGCCUACAGCUCAACUGUAGAACUGCCAUUGAUACUGUAAGUCUUGAAUUCGGUCGAAGUGGGCGGAAUAUGACAUGUAGCGGUGAAAUGCUUAGAUAUGUCAUAGAACGCCGAUAGCGAAGGCAGCUCACUAGGCCUGGAUUGACGCUCAGGGACGAAAGCGUGGGGAGCAAGCAGGAUUAGAUACCCUGGUAGUCCACGCCGUAAACUAUGAUUACUCGUUUUCAGCGAUAUACGGUUGGAGACUAAGCGAAAGUGAUAAGUAAUCCACCUGGGGAGUACGAUCGCAAGGUUGAAACUCAAAGGAAUUGACGG
rnacentral:rRNA from 1 species